ACAAUAUAUAUAUAUAUACCACACACAAACGCAAUAUUGUAUAUUGUCGAAAUAUCAGCUAAAGGAUUUAAUGUGGCAACUUCACUACGCAUGUACCAACUUAAAAGAUAAAAACGAAAUUGCUAUCAUACAUCAAUGUGGGUGGAAUGCACAACGUUAUACGUUUGUACUUAUUAGUAAGCAACUUUCUACGAUUUUUGAAAAUCAUUAUUCUAAUAUGUAUUUACUACAAAUUCUGCACUGGAAAAUCAAUUCUAAUUGACCACAGAAAAAAUUAUAUAUAUUAUAUAUUUAUACUAUAUAACAUUUAGCACGUUACCUAUUAUAAGAAUUGCUAAUUUAAUAAGAAAUAAAAAAGGUACAAAAAAAUUCAACUACAACUUGCGAUUGCUGAUAUGUUGUAUCCAUUUACAUUACAAAAUAUUUAAUGACAAUAAUAUAUCUAACAACAUAAAAUAAGAUAAACUUAAACAAGAAUUCUUAUUCUCUUGCAGUAUUCUUCUUUAACGGAGUAUUCGUUUUUUUUGUCAGCCACUUUGCAACAACUUUUCUUGACGUCAUUUCACCUAUAAAUGGAUCCCAACCACAUCGAAUAUACAUAGCGACCGAAUAUUUUAUUGAUGAACAAAAUAUUUCUAUUUAAUUUUGCUUCACAUGUAUACAGCCCUUUUCAUUGGAACAUUCUCAGGGAUAGCGAUAGAAGCACUGAUGAUUGCGUAUCUGCAGCAUACAUGCGGAAUGUUUAGAAUUGCCUGGUAUGAAGUUGGGCACAAGUACGGCCACAAAAAUUUGGCGAAACAAUGUUUAUCGUUUAAAAUUAGAAAACUGUUACGGAAAACGAUAUACUCUGAAUAUACAAUGAAAAAGAAAGUUGUUCUUUAAAAACACACAUGUUCGUUACAGUUAUCGUAUCGAACACGCAAUGGAAAUUAAUAUACUAAAAAAUAUUAGUUUAAAUAGCGGAUCUUUGAUAUCAAAAAGAAUAGUUUGUGUCGUAGAUAUCCAUCGAGAAGCCAUGAAGUUAGUAUAAGAACUUCUUAGAAGCCUUGUAUAAUUGUUUUAAAAACUUUACUAUACAAGAACUUUACAAGAAUGAACAUAUGAAUCAUACACAAAAAACAGUCUUUAAUAAGAUUGUUAUAUGAUUCGACAAUUUGAUCUCAUGAUAUAUUUAUUCAGAAAUUUACGUUUAUUCAGAAAAUAUUAAUACUCGUAUAAAAUACUAAGUAAUGUAUAUUAUAUGCAGUCUUUUUUUAUAUUUAAAGAUUGUCCGAGCUUUUAACAUCCAGAUUUGACACGACAUACUUCAGUUUAACAGUGCUCUCAGUGAUUACGUUGAGCCUCAAUCCUUUUCAGGUAAAUCUGAAUUUUAUAAAUUGUUUACAUGUAUUCUCCAACUAUUCCUUGGAAUUUCAUUUCAUUGUUUUACAUUGCAAAAGAAUUUUUCUCUGCUGGUAUCAAUAUGUUUAACAAAAUAAUAACAUGUAACAUUUUCGUGCGUCAGCAUACAUCAAUUUACACAGAUUUAAAAAAAUAAAAAUAAGAAAGAAGAAGAAACGGUUUAACGUGCAUUGCAUAUUAAAUGACGCUGUACAAGAAUAUAACAAUACUAGCAUCCCCUGUCAUGGCUUUGCCCGCGAUAUUUGUGUGUAGAACUCGAAAUGUACAAAACUUUAUUAUAACUUUUUCACCCGUUAGGGGUGGAAUUUCAGAAAACCCUCCUUUAGUGAGCACCUACAUGAUAGUAGAAAUAUACCCUUAAAAUUUCAAGUCGAUAGGUGCAGUGGUUCGGGCUGCACGUUGAUGAAAUGAUGAUAUAGAUAGAUAAUUGACUCUACAAAAACCAAUUACAUUAUUUUAAUUCGUGAUUUAGAUUUCUCAGAUUGUAACAUCUAAAGACGAUGCCAUGGAAGUUUUAAUCCCUAUGAUAACUGUAGCCAUUCUUACUGUGUAUGUGAUCUUGGCCAAUUUCUUUGGGCAAGAUGUAACGGAUCAGAAUAAUGAAAUAUAUAUUUCCGCGUAAGAGACGCAUUUUAUGAAAUGCAAUUAUCUACGAACCUUCUUCUUGUUAUCUUUUAUAUAACAAUUAUCAUUUUGAUAAUUUCCAUUAUAAAAUAUAUAACAUUUUUUAAUACUCAUUUUAUUUGUUAAAUUGUCAAAGCAGCGUCCAUGCAUAUAUAGAUACAAUAUUCUCUUAUAGGUACAAUAUUCAAUGGUACAAGUGUCCUCAACGAAUACAAAAAUUGAUACUGUUGCUUUUACAAAGGAGGUCUAAAGAAUUUCAUUUAACCUGCGGUGGAUUGUUUAUAGCAUCGUUCGAGUUACUCGCAACGGAUCAAUCUAUCAGCCACGUUGGAUUGCGGCUUGGGACAAUCAUUUAUCCGAUCGUGGAAUAACGCGUGUCGUUACGGAUCAAGCAACCGCUAAUGAUCGAUGAACUGCUCUACAUGGGAACGUUUUCCAAUUCGACAUUUCGUUAUCCAGAUUACUGGAGCAACCAUCUCUCGUUACGGAUUGAUUACUCAAACAUAUCACAUUUUUUUGCGUGGACAACACAUCCUUAGUAGCAUUUCAUUCUACAUAUCUAUAAGUAUACAACAUCAGAUAAAUGAAUAGAUUAAUAGGUUAAAAAUAUUUUAUAUUCCUAUGUAUUAUGUAUCGUAUUAAUAAGUUUCUGAUUUUCUAUUUUCAUUUUGAACAUUAUUUUUAACAUUACAAUCUUUAUUAUUGAUAGUAACAUAACAUCGUUGUAAUAAUCAUUCGACUUAAGCGGUUUCCCGAGCAAAGUAAUAUUAUUUUCGCUUGUACCAAUUCUGAAUACCGGAUUCAGACGCGUUUAUGGCAGGAGCAAUCCUGCAAUUGGGGUCACUGAAGCAUCAUAAUUGGAUUCGAUUGUCUGGAGAGCAGGAAUAUGCAAAUGAAUCCAUACUCCGCGCCAACGUCCCAGCGCUUAUUUCUGAUCGACGAUGUGAAUGGGAAAUAAAAGCGAAGGAGUCCGCGCUUUAAAUCCUACGUAACACCAUUAUCAAUGGGAAAGUCACCACAAUUUACAUAGCAAUUCGACACAUUGAAGUACUGGAAUUUUAGCGAUUUUUCAAAUGUCUCGCUUUUUGAACAUCUCUUCUAUUAUACAUAUUCCUCGUUAAAUUCUGAUGUCCACAAAUUUCCGCGAGAAUUCUUUUUCAUGCCAUUCAAUGUGAAAAACGUGGAGCAAUCGCGAAAGCGACAGCAUCAGAAAUGACAGUUAUUUGCGUUCGUAUAAUAAUAUAUCGCCGAUUAUGUUGAAGCUUGUCGCGAAAUGUACACUUUGUUAGUUGGACUUUCAAAAUCGCAAUAUGAGACACUGCUUUCCCGCGGCAUAUACGACCGUUUUACAAGCUAUCUAUUUGAAUGCAAACAGGUAAAGGAGAAUGUUAUCGAUAAAACGCUCGGGAUUCGCGUUCGCACGCGAUAAAGGCGGAUUGCCGCAGCUGUUCACUAGCCUCUCCGAUAAGAUGUCAAGUAACGUAAUGGGUUUCGUCGGAAAAGAUCAGGAGCUGUUCCGCAAUUUAGAUUAGAUCGAGUCGUCAAAGUUGACGAUAAAAGAGUUUAACGACGACCUUCCGCAUCGAUGCGAAGAUGAACAAGCAGAUGAAAUCGUGGAGUUGAACUUUAUGGAGUGAGAACUUUAAUGACUCAAUAUGUCAAACUUAUGUUCUGCUAAUGUACACAGGUACGUAAUACACACCUAGCCAGAGAACGUAGUGUACAUUCAAGACACAAUUUAAUUAUAUUUUAGGAUACAAACGACGUUCAGAUAAACCGACAAUUAUAAGUAUAAAUUUUUUUCCUUUCCAUGUAUCUCCUAUAAUGCUUUGUUCAUUGUAAGCGGAAUUUUGCAUCGCGGGAAACCGCUCAAAAAUUCCAUAAAUGUAUAAAAUCCGCCCUCGUAAAAGCGGAUCUUUCCUUGCGAGAAGAGGAAAGGAGAGAAGAGGGAAUAGGGCUGCGACCCGGUGAAAGAAUAAUCCUUUUGCACUUUGAGGUAUCGCUUAGACACGCUUCGAGCUUCACUCUCUCUUCCUCCCCGCGCCCCGUUCAGCGUACGGUCGAUGGACCGUUUAAUAUUUAAGAUGUGCUUCUCUCGCCACCAGAUGAUACUCCACGUGUAUCUCGCGCACUUAAAUCCGGACGCAGUUUGUGCUCGCUGCGUUUUACGUCACGAGUACAACGUGACUCGAGUGCGGAACGAGUGCGAGCCGAAAGACAAAAACGUGCCUAAUAGCGCUUCCUUCUUACACUUGAACCCAACGUUUGCCAUGUCCCUAUUGAAGUGUACUUAGAUCUCAAAAUCUAAAAUCUAAACAUUAAAUGCAAAA